UGAACUGGGUAGCUAGAGUAUGUCAGAGGGGGGUAGAAUUCCACGUGUAGCAGUGAAAUGCGUAGAGAUGUGGAGGAAUACCGAUGGCGAAGGCAGCCCCCUGGGAUAAUACUGACGUUCAUGCUCGAAAGCGUGGGUAGCAAACAGGAUUAGAUACCCUGGUAGUCCACGCCCUAAACGAUGUCGAUUAGCUGUUGGGCAACUUGAUUGCUUAGUAGCGUAGCUAACGCGUGAAAUCGACCGCCUGGGGAGUACGGUCGCAAGAUUAAAACUCAAAGGAAUUGACGGGGACCCGCACAAGCGGUGGAUGAUGUGGAUUAACUCGAUGCAACGCGAAGAACCUUACCUGGUCUUGACAUGUACGGAAGAACUCAGAGACGAGUUUGUGCCUUCGGGAGCCGUAACACAGGUGCUGCAUGGCUGUCGUCAGCUCGUGUCGUGAGAUGUUGGGUUAAGUCCCGCAACGAGCGCAACCCUUGUCAUUAGUUGCCAUCAUUAAGUUGGGCACUCUAAUGAGACUGCCGGUGACAAACCGGAGGAAGGUGGGGAUGACGUCAAGUCCUCAUGGCCCUUAUGACCAGGGCUUCACACGUCAUACAAUGGUCGGUACAGAGGGUAGCCAAGCCGCGAGGUGGAGCCAAUCCCAGAAAACCGAUCGUAGUCCGGAUUGCACUCUGCAACUCGAGUGCAUGAAGUCGGAAUCGCUAGUAAUCGCAGGUCAGCAUACUGCGGUGAAUACGUUCCCGGGUCUUGUACACACCGCCCGUCACACCAUGGGAGUGGGGGAUACCAGAAGCAGGUAGGGUAACCGCAAGGAGCCCGCUUGCCACGGUAUGCUUCAUGACUGGGGUGAAGUCGUAACAAGGUAGCCGUAGGGGAACC
rnacentral:rRNA from 1 species